rnacentral:rRNA from 1 species
AACGAACGCUGGCGGCGUGCCUAACACAUGCAAGUUGAACGUGAUUGGAAGCUUGCUUCCAUGAAAGUGGCGCACGGGUGAGUAACGCGUAGAUAAUCUACCUGAUGAUCCGGGAUAACACUUCGAAAGGGGUGCUAAUACCUGAUAAGCCCACGGAGUCCUUGGACUCUGCGGGAAAAGGGGGGGAUCGCAAGACCUUCCGUCAUCAGAUGAGUCUGCGUACCAUUAGCUAGUUGGUAGGGUAAAGGCCUACCAAGGCGACGAUGGUUAGCUGGUCUGAGAGGAUGAUCAGCCACACUGGAACUGAGACACGGUCCAGACUCCUACGGGAGGCAGCAGUGGGGAAUUUUGCGCAAUGGGGGAAACCCUGACGCAGCAACGCCGCGUGAGUGAUGAAGGCCCUUGGGUCGUAAAGCUCUGACAGAGGGAAAGAAAUGCAGAGUGGCUAAUAUCCACCUUGCUUGACGGUACCCUCAAAGGAAGCACCGGCUAACUCCGUGCCAGCCGCCGCGGUAAUAC